rnacentral:lncRNA from 1 species
AUGAAAAUCACUGGACCAUUCAGGUAUGACCUAAAUCAAAUCCCUUACGAUUAUAUAGUGGAAGUGACAAAUAGAUUCAAGGGAUUAGAUCUGAUAGACAGACUGCCUGAUGAACUAUGGAUGGAGGUUCGUGACAUUGUACAGGAGACAGGGAAGAAGACCAUCCCUAAGAAAAAGAAAUGCAAAAAAGCAAAAUGGCUGUCUGAGGACGCCUUACAAAUAGCUGUGAAAAAAAGUGAAAAGCAAAGGAGAAAAGCAAAGAUAUACACAUCUGAAUGCAGAGUUCCAAAGAAAGCAAGGACAGAUAAGAAAGCCUUCCUCAGUGAUCAGUGCAAAGAAAGAGAGGCAAACAACAGAAUGGGAAAGACUAGAGACCUCUUCAAGAAAAUUAGAGAUACCAAGGGAACAUUUCAUGCAAAGAUGGACUCAAUCUUUAUUGACAGAAAUGCUAUGGACCUAACAGAAGCAGAAGAUAUCAAGAAGAGGUGGCAAGAAUACACAGAACUGUACAAAAAAGAUCUUCACGACCCAGAUAAUCACGAUGGUGUGUUCACUCACCUAGAGCCAGACAUCCUGGAAUGUGAAGUCAAGUGGGCCUUAGGAAGCAUCACUACGAACAAAGCUAGUGGAGGUGAUGGAAUUCCAGAUGAGCUAUGUCAAAUCCUGAAAGAUGAUGCUGUGAAAGUGCUGCACUCAAUAUGCCAGCAAAUUUGGAAAACUCAGCAGGGGCCACAGGACUGGAAAAGGUCAGUUUUCAUUCCAAUCCCAAAGAAAGGCAAUGCCAAAGAAUGCUCAAACUACCACACAAUUGCACUCAACACUAGUAAAGUAAUGCUCAAAAUUCUCCAAGCCAGGCUUCAGCAAUACGUGAACCGUGAAUUUCCAGAUGUUCAAGCUGGUUUUAGAAAAGGCAGAGGAACCAGAGAUCAAAUUGCCAACAUCUGCUGGAUCAUCGAAAAAGCAAGAGAGUUCCAGAGAAACAUCUACUUCUGCUUUAUUGACUAUGGCAAAGCCUUUGACUGUGUGGAUCACAAUUCCCUUGGUAUCUCUAAUUUUUCUUGA